UACAGAGGGUGCGAGCGUUAAUCGGAUUUACUGGGCGUAAAGCGUGUGUAGGUGGCCGCGUAAGUCGGUUGUGAAAUCCCUGGGCUUAACUCGGAACGGCCAAGUGAAACUGUCAAGCUAGAGUGCAGAAGGGGCAAUCGGAAUUCUUGGUGUAGCGGUGAAAUGCGUAGAUAUCAAGAGGAACACCUGAGGUGAAGACGGGUUGCUGGGCUGACACUGACGCUGAGGCGCGAAAGCCAGGGGAGCAAACGGG
rnacentral:rRNA from 1 species